rnacentral:lncRNA from 1 species
UCCAACCAGAAUGAUGUAGCUCAUCACCCACGUGCGGCACUGGAAGCCUAUGGAUAACUUGUGAAUAGGUAGGUGAAUUUGGAUCAACAUCCACUGUAGCCAAGUAAUCAGGCUUCUGCCUUCCUGUCCCUAUAUAGAUAAUUUACAAAUUUAGCACAAUUUUCAUCAUAAACUCACUUUAUUUUCUAUUCACAUACUGAAAGGCUCUAAUUGGUUGCUUAAAGGAAUGCUACAAAAAGUUCAUGUGAAACCACCUUCAUGAUCCUUACUACUGCUGCAUAGGUAAUCAUAUGACUUCAUUGCUGGAUCAUAGUUUAUCACCCAUCUUAACAUUGUGAAGCAAAACUUGAAUCAAUAGAGUAAUGUUUAUCAAUUAGUCAUUAACAAUAGCAAUAUUGCCAAUUAUUCCAAAUGUGUUGGACUAUAAGAAGCCUGGGACUAUAAGGUUGGAAAACUACUCCUUCAACAAAUGAAGUAAUGAACUGCCACAUAUCAUCUUCAUUCAAUGGUGAUAAGGCGCAGGUGGCAAUUCAUGUUGAUGAUGGAUUAUACCUCCUAACUCUGGUCCUUCAAUCAUCUAUCUAGCUAUCUGAUUAAACUUAAUCAAGAAAAUGAAAAGAGAAGCAAGAAAUUUGAGAAAAUUAUUACCUGAAUAAACACAAGUAGUAUAAAGAAUAGCUUCUUUAGGACCAGACAUGGCUUCAAGAGGAGUAGCAUAACCUGGUCCAGUUUUCUUACAAUAAGACCCUACUCCAUUCACAGCCACACUUGCGUAUUCCACUGCACUGCUUGCCAUUUUCCCUUCUCCACCUCCUCUCUCUUUUCUGCUCGACUGCUCCUUUUGAAGAAAUACUGUGUGGAACUGCAGGAGAUUGUGUUGUGUGCUGACAAAAAAAAUUAUCUGUGUUUCCUCUAGUAUGUGGUUCGUGUGAUGUGAUCCCAAUCACAAUAUGCCACAUGUCUAUAAAUUAGUUGGAUAACUGAUUCAAACCCACUAGGGUUAACUACACCCAUACUAGUCUAUAUUUUUGUUAACACGUGGCGCGAUGAGAUUGGGACCACGCGACCCACAUACUAGAGGAAACUUACGUAUCAUUCGCUGUAUUCUUGUAGAGUUGUAUGUCAUCUUUCGUUCCUCACAGUAUGCCUUCAAAAGGAGCAGUCGAGCAGAACUACGGUGUUGGUUAUGACACGAAAACGGAAGCAGUGGNNNNNNNNNNNNNNNNNNNNNNNNNNNNNNNNNNNNNNNNNNNNNNNNNNNNNNNNNNNNNNNNNNNNNNNNNNNNNNNNNNNNNNNNNNNNNNNNNNNNUUACUUUGGCAUGCCAAAAAAAUAGUCCAUGCCAACCCUAUUUUACACACGAAGAAGAUAACUACCAAUCGCAUCAUGCCACGUGUUAACAAAAAUAUAACCUAGUAUGGGUGUAGUUAACCCUGGUGGGUAUGACUCGGUUAUCAAACUAAUUUAUAGGCACGUGGCAUAUUGUGAUUGGGACCACAUGAACCACAUACUAGAGGAAACACAGAUAAAAUUUGUUGUGUGCUCAAAAAAUUUUAUCUGUGUUUCCUCUAGUAUGUGGUUCAUGUGGUCCCAAUCACAAUAUGCCACGUGCCUAUAAAUUAGUUUGAUAACCGAUUCAAACCCACUAGGGUUAACUACACCCAUACUAGGUUAUAUUUUUGUUAACACGUGGCAUGAUGCGAUUGGUAGUUAUCUUCUUCGUGUAUUAAAUAGGGUUGGCAUGGACUAUUUUUUUGGCAUGCCAAAGUUAAAUGGCAUGCCGUUUUGCCAUGUCUUUUGCUUCCCCUUGCAUACAUGGCCCAUUUUUCUUGUGUACCAUAUAUACAAAGUUUGGUUGCACUAUAUAAUUUUGUUUAAAUAUAAUCACACUAAAUUAACAAUAAUAGAAUAUAUUAAAAAAAAAUUAGAAUUUCUUUAGAAGAUAUUCAAAUAAAAAAAAACACACAUAUUUAUUCAAAGUCUAAGUUUAAAAGUACCUUGUACUAAGAGCUUAAGACGUCAAUUGCACCAAUUGCUAAUCAAAUACAUUCUUGGAUAAUGAGAUUUUUUAUUCAUUAAAGCGUUUUUGUUACGUGUGAAAUUCUCCAGUUACAAGAACUUUGACAUUUUGUCUCUGUUUAUUACACAGCUUUCAGAAUCUCUCUGUGUGCUUGUCAUACAGUUUUCAAUCUCUAAAUCCAUAUAUCUGAAGUGCAGUCACCACCAGGAUACCGCAUUUCAUGAGCUAAUGAUGGGCCUUCUGGUUCUUGACUAAAAUCAACGUAAAAGUUUGGGUUUAUAACAAGACCUCCACUGAUGGUGUUAACGUCAAUUUGUAGCAUAUGAGACCCUUUCUCUACCAUCUCUGGAUAGAACUGACGGUCCCAAGCACUGAAAAGUGAGUUCGUAACAUAGAGUCGCUUCCCAUCUAAGCUAAGUUGGACCAUUUGAGGUCCUCCUCUCAGCCGAUUUCCCUGAAAUGAAGAAUUGUAACCACCUAGUUAGAAUCACGAUGGUCCAUGCUAUGAAUAUAUCAGCAUCCGAAAAAUAGUUUGUUUGUGUCAGGGAUGAAUUUUGAGCAUUAUGAUUAAACAUUUUUAAAAUCAGAUAAUAUGACUUCACUCUUCAGGUGAUUGCAUAUAAUAAACAGAAUUUGUUCAGUCAACCACAUAUGUUUAAGAUAGAAAAUCAUGCUUACGUUUGGUUUGCCAAAAUAACUAGGAUUGCCAAAUAGAUACCUUAAUUUCUGGAACUUCAAAUUGCUUUUCAUUGCCAUCUUCAUCUUCUGCCACAACUGGGCUUCCCUUUUGAAUCAGUCCCCCGACCCACACUUGGCCUGCCAAUACAGGCUUCUUGGGAUCUUCAAUGUUAUAUUGUCUGAUAUCUCCAUGAAGCCAGUUCACGAAGUAGAGGUAGCGGUCAUCAAGAGAGAUGAGAAAAUCAGUAAUAAGACCCGGCAUUUCUGGAAGAAUCCAAUUUUUCACCUUUAAUGGUUGCACAGAUAUUGCUACCUACAAAGUAAAAUCAUGAGUACCUUGAACUUCAAUAAGAAUGUUAAACACAGAAAACUAGAUCAGAAUUUGAAUUUGUGUAAGAAGUUGUACAAUACCUCAUGACUCCAUGAUCCAUCAUCAGUCUUGAAGAAUCUGACCAUAUUGCUGGUUAGUGCACACCCUACAUAUCCAGUAUCCUUGGAAGGAUCAUGAAGGAACCUGAUCUGCAAGGUCAAGAAUCAAAUACAUUAUUUUGGGUACAGCAUGAGAUAUACCAAGAUACAAGGCCAUUCCGUAUUCAGUAUCACAGUAGAGGGUUAGAAAAGGUACACAUACCUCUAAAGGUAUGAGCCCUGUGUUACCAAGAUCCAUUGUUUGUUUUAGUUCACCAUCAGGCCAGCUAUAUACAUGUAGAUGUCUUCCAUAUAGACCAUCUGAAACAUGUUGGAGAUCAAAGCCUUUUGUAAAAGCUGCAGGAGCUCCCCAUGAUGAGCUGAUCAUUGUCUUGUGCCGGGGUUGGUACCAGAAAUCAUAUCCAAAAAGAGGACUGUGACCAGGUUUCUCCCACCUGUACAAUGAGAGACAUAUUGCAAUUAAAACAAAUAAGCAAUCUGCUCAAAAGCUAUGGCACAUAUGUCAUACUAGGCUACUAGCCAUUAGGGGCAUGUUAUCACAAGAGAAGAGAUGAUAUAUUGAGGGGCAUCUGUUAGCUGUUCCUACUGGUUCAAUGCAUUUCAUGCAGUAUGCAUGCAGAACUAACCCCAUUUCUUAAAUUAUUCUUAUUUAAAGCAUCAAAAUGAUCCAUGAUAACACGAUUGUUUCGUUUAUUUAUUAGGAGUUUUUAAUCUUUUUUGGUUGUUGAUGGAACAUGUCUACUUCCACUAUACCAAAGAAAAUAUAAAUAGCAGUAUAAUCUAACCUUCCUUUCACAUUGAACUCUGAAUCAAGAAGAAGAAACCCGUUUCCCUCAGCAUUUCCUUCUUUAUCUCCAAGGCAGGACACCAAGAUAUCACCAGAAGCUAGGCAAUGAGAUGUAUGGGGAAAUGCUAACCCAGUCUUUUGAGCGAUAUCUUCAGGCUCGACAACUUUAUGCAGAACAGGAGCCUUAGGAUUCUUUUGUGUGUCAACAACGUAUAUGCGACUUGACCUGAAAGAACAUAAAAAAAAUGUAUUCAUAGGUGGUAUAUUUAGAGGUGUAUACAAUAUACUGUUCACUACUAAUAAAAGCUAGAGUGAUAUAGAAUAUUGGAGCAAAAAACUCGAACAAUAAUAUCUACCCUACAUAAUCUAGGUGACAUUUGUCAAAAUUCAUCUUCCUGGGAAGUAAAUUGUUGCACCACUUGUGGACUAUAGGAUCACUUGCCAGCAGAAUCUGUAUUCUGUAAGAAGAGCUUCACCAAAUCCAAGGUGAUGUAAACACUUUGCUUCAUUGGCAACAAUUUUUGAGGAACACAGAAGCGGCGUUGAAUUAUAUUCGCGUAAAGAUAUGUUAUUUGAAAGCCCUUGCUUACAACAGUCAUACCAAGUUGCUUGCUCAUCAAUUUCAUCAACAAAUAUCACAAAGAUUAUUGGAUCUGAAUCUUACACUAAUGAUGGCAAAACCAGGAAACGCCGACUAGCUGAUGCAUCUCCGUGGCAAGAACUGCAGGAGUUCCAACCAGAAUGAUGUAGCUCAUCACCCACGUGCGGCACUGGAAGCCUAUGGAUAACUUGUGAAUACGUAGGCGAGUUUGGAUCAACAUCCACUGUAGCCAAGUAAUCAGGCUUCUGCCUUCCUGUCCCUAUAUAGAUAAUAUAAUAAAUUUAGCACAAUUUUCAUCGUAAACUCAGUUUAUUUUCUACUCACAUCUAACUGGAUGCUUAAAGGAAUGUUGCAACAAGUUUAUGUGAAACCACGUUGGCAACUUCAUGAUCCUUGCUACUGCUGUACAUAUUAUUAAUUUAUCUUUUCAAUAGAUAAUCAAAUGGCUCCAUUGCUAGAUCAAAGUUUGUCAAAAUCAGUCAAAUUGCCAAAAACCGGUAUGAUUUUACAUAUCUUAACAUUGAAGCAAAU